CUCGUUGGUGCAUGAUUUGAGUCACGCCUAUGAUUCAUGUUGUGACAAAUUAUCAUCAAGACCCUCUAAUUUCCACCUUGCACUCAGGAAGUGGUAUUCUUUAUUACUGCCGGAGAGGGAGUUUCGAUGCUUUGUACGUGAUCAUCACCUAGUCGGAAUCUCACAACGGGAAGUCACUACAUGCUAUCCUUUGAUCCUUGCAGAGAGAAGAAGUAUAAAAAAUCUGAUUAGGGAAUUCUUCGACAAGAAGGUAAUGUUGCAGUUCGAAUCAGAGAAUUACACAUUUGAUGUCUAUGUCACCAACGACGGCCGUGUUAAGAUUUUGGAUUUUAACCCUUGGGGUGCAUUUACACUGCCACUGCUAUUUACGUGGGAGGAACUCGAGCAAGUUACAGGGGAAGGGCUAGAUGAUGAUGAUGGUGUGGAGUUGAGAGUUGUGGAGACUCGGUGUGGAAUUCGGCCCGGGUUGAAAACAGCAGUUCCACAGGAGUUCCUCGACGCUGGCCCAGGGAGUGGAUGGGAGCAGGUAUUGAAGAACGCAUUUGAGGAGCAGCAGCAGAACGCACAAGUAUCGGACGAUGUUUGAGAGAUGUUAAAGUCUAUAUAUAUAAAAGAGUCUUCAUCCCUUGUUUUUGCAUAAGACUUUGAUAUUGAAAAUUUGAACUUUUAACUUCUUGAGUUUCAAACUUGUUAAGGGUCUUUGAUAGUGCAUGGUGAUUCGUACUUGAGAGAGCGAUAGUUGUAGCAACAAGACAUUUCCUCUCGUUUGUGGCCGCUAUCUAACCUUGUUUCUAUUCAUUCUUGAAGAUUUUUACUCUUUUAAUUAUGAAGUGAUUAAAAAUUAUAUUUUGUUGUUAUGUUAUUAAUUUCUCUCUACACUAGUUUCACUUCAAAUCACGAGCUUAAGAAGUCUAUAAAAGAGAUAAGGUUGGCCACGGGUAAGUAUAAAGAUGAAUUUGGUAUAUUUAUCAUCUCUUUGUUUAGUAGUUGGAUUUUGUUCGUACCCAUUUAUUUGUAUGAAUGGGCAGAAUAUAGAAACCAUUCUCAACCAUCUAUAAAUUUUCAAAUCUACCCAUUUGGUUGGGCAAUACCCGUUUUAUCUUUUAUUAUUGAACAAAACUACAAAUGAAUGGUAUUAUACAACUUUAGUCUUGCUCAAUUUAUAAUUCUAAAAACAUUAAGAUUUAUCCACAAACUAAGAUUUGUCCUAACAACUAAUAUUCAGUGAAUGACACUGAAAUAACAAUUAUUAGUUUACAAACACAAAAAUGUAAGAUAACACUGAAGGCUUCCAAGCUUUGAGUGAAUAAAAACCUUAUUUGGUCACUUAGUUUUUAUAAUUCUCAAACAUUAAAGAUUAUUAAUAAAAUAAUUGGAGGCAAGACAGAGGAGAGGGAGUUUCGAUGCUUUGUACGUGAUCAUCACCUAGUCGGAAUCUCACAACGGGAAGUCACUACAUGCUAUCCUUUGAUCCUUGCAGAGAGAAGAAGUAUAAAAAAUCUGAUUAGGGAAUUCUUCGACAAGAAGGUAAUGUUGCAGUUCGAAUCAGAGAAUUACACAUUUGAUGUCUAUGUCACCAACGACGGCCGUGUUAAGAUUUUGGAUUUUAACCCUUGGGGUGCAUUUACACUGCCACUGCUAUUUACGUGGGAGGAACUCGAGCAAGUUACAGGGGAAGGGCUAGAUGAUGAUGAUGGUGUGGAGUUGAGAGUUGUGGAGACUCGGUGUGGAAUUCGGCCCGGGUUGAAAACAGCAGUUCCACAGGAGUUCCUGGAUGUUGGCCCAGGGAGUGGAUGGGAGCAGGUCUUGAAGAACGCAUUUGAGGAGCAGCAGCAGAACGCACAAGUAUCGGACGAUGUUUGAGAGAUGUUAAAGUCUAUAUAUAUAAAAGAGUCUUCAUCCCUUGUUUUUGCAUAAGACUUUGAUAUUGAAAAUUUGAACUUUUAACUUCUUGAGUUUCAAACUUGUUAAGGGUCUUUGAUAGUGCAUGGUGAUUCGUACUUGAGAGAGCGAUAGUUGUAGCAACAAGACAUUUCCUCUCGUUUGUGGCCGCUAUCUAACCUUGUUUCUAUUCAUUCUUGAAGAUUUUUACUCUUUUAAUUAUGAAGUGAUUAAAAAUUAUAUUUUGUUGUUAUGUUA
rnacentral:lncRNA from 1 species